rnacentral:lncRNA from 1 species
UUAAAUAUUAUUAUCUUAUAAUAAUAAAUAAUUAAUAUUAAUAAUAAUAACAUUUUUAUUAUUAUUAAUUAUACUUGUAAUACCCGGCUAGACUCCGGUAUCGGAAUUCCUACCGUCCGGUGGAAUCUCGGAUGUCGGAAGCCUCUGGUAGGGUAGAAACAUGUUCUCAUAAAAUGUUUUAAGGUAUUUCAUGGUUUUAAGUAUGAAAAUUAAAUGAGUUUUUGCAUGAAAAGUCUUUGGAGGAAAACCCAGGUUCGGCCGCCGAAAGCCAAGUUCGGCCUCCGAAC